ensembl:lncRNA
GAUAUCUGCUAGACACAGACUGAACACACUUGAGAGGAAGAGGAAGAGUACUCUGGUGAGAGUACAGGUCUGAACACACUUGAGAGGAAGAGGAAGAGUACUCUGGUGAGAGUACAGGUCCUCGGAGGAAAAGACCUGGUCAAACAAGCUCUUUGUGACAAGAUCACAAAGGAGGAUAGACAAGGUCAAAGAUUAAAUUCAGACAUUGACCAAGACAAUUUUUAUGUUUGUUCCUCACUUUCUUUUUUUAUUGUUCACAAGAUGUCUACACAUUGCCUGAUGAUUACACUCUGUCUAGAAUGGGCAACGCCAAAAGAUGCUGGUGGAACAACAAAAAAAAAAAAAUCUGUUUGCCAGGAUCCCGUCAAUUUUAUAACACAGCUUAGCCUGCUGGCAGCCCAUAUUAAAAACUUCAGCCAACUUUAAAAGGGUCAAAUGUGACACCGGAUCUCCGGGGACAACGCUUGCUUUCCUCCAGCUCUUGUCCCACAGGCAGCUGCUGUCUCUGCACUCGUCUUUGUUAUGGCACAGACAGCAAAGCUAGGUUUGCUUUCUAAAGACACGUCCAUGAAAAUAAAUCAUUUCUCCAUUUUUUUUCUUUUUUUUUUAAAAACCUAGAAGUCUUUUUGUUUUUUAAUAAUGCAUUAUCAUUUGCAACCAGGCACAUCUUUGUUUUUUUCUUUGUUUGCUUUUUAUGUUGUGUGUGUGUGUGUAUUUUUAACGGUGGAUCUUGUAGGAAUCCAACUGACGCUGAAUCAAAUCCAACUUGAGUCAGUGUGCUCUCCACACCAGACUUUUACCACAACCCUCAAAAUAGAGGAGUUCCCUCCCAUCACACAUCAUCUUGCGGUCAAGGUGGCAACGGUGGGUGUCUGUGUGUGGUGGGGGUGGCGAAGGGAAGGGGGGGGGGGGGCUCUUCCGUUCUUCAGAACCAAGGCAAAUGCGCAUUUCCGUAAACCCUGUCACUCCAAAGCUGUGAUGCGUCCUAUUGGCUUUCCACAGUGCCAAAGUGCCAAGUCCCCACCAGUCCUUCAUGAAGGAGUUCCCUUUAAGUUUCUCUUCUGCAGUCAACAUCUGAAUGUUUGCAAACAAAAGAUCUGACCUAAUGAAAAGGAGACAACGUUUCUUUGUCAUUUACCACACAAGUCUACCGUCUUACUGUUUUUACAUUUUUCCGUAAAGACCAUUUGCAUCAAAGAGUAAUAUAACCAAAAAACAACACAAUGCAACAAUAAACCAUUGAAGUGCCGAGAGUGACUGGAAGUGGC